ACGAACGCUGGCGGCGUGCUUAACACAUGCAAGUCGAGCGGUAAGGCCCUUUCGGGGGUACGACGAGCGGCGAACGGGUGAGUAACACGUGGGUGACCUGCCCUUAGCUCUGGGAUAAGCCUGGGAAACGUGGGUCUAAUACCGGAUAUGACUCCAUGACGCAUGUUGUGGGGUGGAAAGCCUUGUGCGGCUAGGAUGGGCCCGCGGCCUAUCAGCUUGUUGGUGGGGUGAUGGCCUACCAAGGCGACGACGGGUAGCCGGCCUGAGA
rnacentral:rRNA from 1 species